rnacentral:rRNA from 1 species
GACGGAGGGUGCAAGCGUUGUUCGGAUUGACUGGGCGUAAAGGGCGUGUAGGCGGUUGGUCAAGUCCGAUGUGAAAGCCCGGGGCUCAGCUUCGGAAGUGCAUCGGAAACUAGCCAGCUGGAGCGCGAUAGAGGAGGGCGGAAUUCCUGGUGUAGCGGUGAAAUGCGUAGAUAUCAGGAGGAACACCGGCGGCGAAGGCGGCCCUCUGGAUCGUUGCUAACGCUGAGACGCGAAAGCGUGGGGAGCAAACAGG